rnacentral:rRNA from 1 species
GAACGCUGGCGGCAUGCUUUUAACACAUGCGAGUCGGACGCCAGUAUAGAAAAGCCUUGUGCUUGCCCCCACGAGUGGCGAACGGGUGAGUAAGAUAUCGGAACGUACCGAGUUAUGACCCAAACACAAGCUUCUGAUGUGCUAAUACCGCAUAUUCUCUGAGGAGGAAAGCAGGGGACGUUCGGUCCUUGCCUGGUUCAGACGGCCGAUAUCUGAUUCGAUAGGUGGUGGGGUAAAGGCCUACCAAGGCGACGAUCAGUAGCGGGGCUCAGAGGAUGAUCCGCCACACUGGGACUGAGACACGCCCCAGACUCCUACGGGAUGCCGCCGUGGGUAAUUUUGGACAACGGGCGCAAGCUUAGGCCCACCAAUGACGGGGGUCUCACGAGGCCCUUCGGUUUGUAAAGCAUUUUGGUAAGGGAGGAAAAGACCGUGGCUAAUACCCCUGUGUUGAGGCCCGACCGGCAGAAUAAGCACCGGCUAACUACGUGCCAGCAGCCGCGGUAAUACGUAGGGUGCGAGCGUUAAUCGGAAUUACUGGGCGUAAAGCGAGCGCAGACGGUCCCUUAAUCUGGAUGUGAGUUCCCCUGGCUCAACCUGGGAACUGCGGGGGGAACUGGCUCGCUAGAGUGUGUCCAAAGGAAGGUAGAAUCCCCCGUGUAGCAAUGAAAUGCGUAGAGGUGUGGAGACAAUACCGAUGGCGAAGGCAGCCUCCUGGGAUAACACUGACGUUCAUGCUCGAAAGCGUGGGUAGCAAACAGGAUUAGAUACCCUGGUAGUCCACGCCCUAAACGAUGUCAAUCUGCUAUGGGGCAACUUGAUUGCUUAGUAGCGUAGCUAACGCGUGAAAUUACACCGCCUGGGGAGUACGGUCGCAAGAUUAAAACUCAAAGGAAUUGACAGGGACCCGCACAAGCGGUGGAUGAUGUGGAUUAAUUCGAUGCAACGCGAAGAACCUUUCCAGCCCCUGACAUGUACGGAAUCCUCCAGAGACGGAGGAGUGUCUUCG